rnacentral:rRNA from 1 species
UAAUACGGAGGGUGCAAGCGUUAUCCGGAAUCACUGGGUUUAAAGGGUGCGUAGGCGGAAUAUUAAGUCAGUGGUGAAAGCCUGUCGCUUAACGAUAGAACUGCCAUUGAUACUGAUAUUCUUGAAUUGGGUUGAGGUUAGCGGAAUGUGACAUGUAGCGGUGAAAUGCAUAGAUAUGUCAUGGAACACCAAUUGCGAAGGCAGCUAGCUGGGCCUUGAUUGACGCUGAGGCACGAAAGCGUGGGUAGCGAACAGG